AUUUUAAUCUUUAAAGAGUACAGCCGGGCGGCUAUACCCUUUAACUAUAUUUUAAUAUUUAAAGAGUAUCGCCGCGCGGCUGUACUCUUUAAUUAUAUUUUA
rnacentral:miRNA from 1 species